UCGAGCGGCACGGAUGGGAGCUUGCUCCCUGUAAGUCGGCGGCGGACGGAUGAGUAACACGUGGGCAACCUGCCUGUAUGACUGGGAUAACUCCGGGAAACCGGGGCUAAUACCGGAUAACUCUUUUCCUCGCAUGAGGAAAGGCUGAUUCAUGGUUUCGGCUAUCACUUACAGAUGGGCCCGCGGCGCAAUAGCUAGUUGGUGAGGUAACGGCUCGCCAAGGCCACGAUGCGUAGCCAACCUGAGAGGGUGAUCGGCCACACUGGGACUGAGACACGGCCCAUACUCCUACGGGAGGCGGCAAUAAGGAAUCUUCGGCAAUGGACGAAAGUCUGACGGACCAACGCCGCGUGAAUGAUGAACGUUUUCGGAUCGUAAAACUCUGUUGUCAGGGAACAACAAGUACCGGACUAACUGCCGGUACCUUGACGGUACCUGACCAGACAGCCACGGCUAACUACGUGCCAGCAGCCGCGGUAAUACGUAGGUGGCAAGCGUUGUCCGGAGUUAUUGGGCGUAGAGCGCGCGCACGCGGUUCCUUAAGUCUGAUGUGAAAGCCCCCGGCUCAGCAGGGGCAGGGUCAUUGGAAACUGGGGAACUUGAGUGCAGGAUACAGAGUGCAAUUCCACGUGUAGCGGUGAAAUGCGUACAGAUGUGGAGGACACCAGUGGCGAACGCGACUCUCUGGUCUGUAACUGACGCUGAGGCGCGAAAGCGUGGGGAGCGACAGAUUACAUGCCCUGCUAGUCCACGCCGUAGACGAUGAGUGCUAGUGUCAAUGGUUUACCGCCCUUUCGUGCUGCAGCAAUCGCAUCAGCAAC
rnacentral:rRNA from 1 species